rnacentral:rRNA from 1 species
ACGAUGAAAUCUAGCUUGCUAGAUGAAUUAGUGGCGAAAGGGUGAGUAACACGUGAGUAAUCUGCCUUCAACUCGGGGAUAGCCUUUGGAAACGAAGAUUAAUACCGGAUGUGAAGUUUAAAUCGCAUGAUUUUAACCUUAAAAUUUUUUGGUUGGAGAUGGGCUCGCGUCCCAUUAGCUAGUUGGUAAGGUAACGGCUUACCAAGGCAACGACGGGUAGGUGGUCUGAGAGGAUGGUCACCCACACUGGAACUGAGACACUGUCCAGACUCCUACGGGAGGCUGCAGUCGAGAAUCUUCCGCAAUGGGCGAAAGCCUGACGGAGCAAUGCCGCGUGAAUGAUGAAGGCCUUCGGGUUGUAAAAUUCUGUCACCUGGGACGAAAUUUGACGGUUCCAGGAGAGGAAAUGACGGCUAACUACGUGC